rnacentral:ncRNA from 2 species
UACGUAGGGUGCAAGCGUUAAUCGGAAUUACUGGGCGUAAAGCGUGCGCAGGCGGUUGUGUAAGUCUGAUGUGAAAGCCCCGGGCUUAACCUGGGAACUGCAUUGGAGACUGCACAGCUAGAGUGCGUCAGAGGGGGGUAGAAUUCCGCGUGUAGCAGUGAAAUGCGUAGAGAUGCGGAGGAAUACCGAUGGCGAAGGCAGCCCCCUGGGAUGACACUGACGCUCAUGCACGAAAGCGUGGGGAGCAAACAGG